rnacentral:rRNA from 1 species
AAGCCGGACAAUACUGUCAAGCUAGAGGGCAUCAGAGGGGAGUGGAAUUCCCGGAGUAGCGGUAAAAUGCGCAGAUAUCGGGAGGAGCACCGAUGGCGAAGGCAGCUCCCUGGGAUGCACCUGACGCUAAGAGGCGAAAGCUAGGGGAGCGAACAGGAUUAGAGACCCUGGUAGUCCUAGCUGUAAACGCUGGGUGCUAGGUGUGGGACGUAGAAGUUCCGUGCCGGAGCAAACGCGAUAAGCACCCCGCCUGGGAAUUACGGUCGCAAGGCUAAAACUCAAACGAAUUGACGGGGCCCCGCACAAGCAGCGGAGCGUGUGGUUCAAUUCGAUGCUACACGAAGAACCUUACCUGGGUUUGACAUGUACGUGGUACGAAGGCGAAAGCCUAAGGACCCUUCGGGGAGCGUACACAGGUGCUGCAUGGCUGUCGUCAGCUCGUGCCGUGAGGUGUCGGGUUAAGUCCCGUAACGAGCGCAACUCUUGCCCUUAGUUACAAGUGUCUAAGGGGACUGCCGGCGGGAAGCCGGAGGAAGGUGGGGAUGACGUCAAGUCAGCAUGGCCCUUAUGUCCAGGGCUACACACACGCUACAAUGGUCAGUACAAAGGGUAGCGAAGUCGCGAGGCGGAGCGAAUCUCAACAAAGCUGAUCGUAGUUCGGAUUGCAGGCUGCAACCCGCCUGCAUGAAGCUGGAGUUGCUAGUAACCGCGCGUCAGCCAUAGUGCGGUGAAUACGUACCCGGGGCUUGUACACACCGCCCGUCACGUCAUGGGAGUCGGUUACGCCUGAAGCCGGUAGUCUGACCCGCAAGGGGGACGCUGUCGAAGG